GCUCAGAAACUUAAAGGAAUUGACGGGGCCCGCACAAGCGGUGGAGCACGUGGUUUAAUUCGAUGCUAACCGAAGAACCUUACCUAGGCUUGACAUCCUAAGGAUAUUUUAGAGAUAAAGUAGUGCCGUUCUUUGAACGGAACUUAGAGACAGGUGCUGCAUGGCUGUCGUCAGCUCGUGCCGUGAGGUGUGGGUUAAGUCCCGCAACGAGCGCAACCCUAUUUUUAGUUGCCAUCAGGUUAAGCUGGGCACUCUAAAGAGACUGCCGUCGAUAAGGCGGAGGAAGGUGGGGACGACGUCAAGUCAUCAUGGCCCUUAUGUCUAGGGCUACACACGUGCUACAAUGGGUUAUACAGAGGGCAGCUAGCUCGCGAGAGUCUGCGAAUCCCUUAAAGUAAUCCUCAGUUCGGAUUGUAGUCUGCAACUCGACUACAUGAAGUUGGAAUCGCUAGUAAUCGCAGGUCAGCAAAACUGCGGUGAAUACGUUCCCGGGCCUU
rnacentral:rRNA from 1 species